AGUGAACGCUGGCGGUAGGCCUAACACAUGCAAGUCGAACGGCAGCACAGUAAGAGCUUGCUCUUACGGGUGGCGAGUGGCGGACGGGUGAGGAAUACAUCGGAAUCUACUUUUUCGUGGGGGAUAACGUAGGGAAACUUACGCUAAUACCGCAUACGACCUACGGGUGAAAGCAGGGGAUCUUCGGACCUUGCGCGAUUGAAUGAGCCGAUGUCGGAUUAGCUAGUUGGCGGGGUAAAGGCCCACCAAGGCGACGAUCCGUAGCUGGUCUGAGAGGAUGAUCAGCCACACUGGAAAGGAGACACGGGCCAGACUCCGACGGGAGGCGGCAGUGGGGGAAAUUGGACAAGGGGGGCAGGCCCCAGCCCCCCAUACCGCGUGGGGGAAAAAGGCCUUUGGGUUUUAAAGCCCUUUUGUUGGGAAAAAAAAACAGCACGUUAAUACCCCGCUGUGUUGAGGGGACCCAAAGAAUAAGCACCCGCUAACUUUG
rnacentral:rRNA from 1 species